CUGCCCGUAGUUGCGCGGGCAGAGCACGCGGUACAGGCAGAGCAGCAGGAGCACGAGGACGAUGCCCGCGGCCAGGCCCAGCGCCGCCACCCUGCGGAAGGGCAGGGGCGAGGACUCAGCUCAACCUGCCACACUCAAAUGACGGCCCUCUCCUGUAGCUCCCGGCAUGGGGGAUGAACACGGAAGCAGGUCCCGCCCCAAGCCAGCUCCAGCACAUCAAUCUUGCUCCCUUACACACACCAGCACCCAAGCAGCCAUCAUGGCUGUGCAGCUGUCUCAGAGUGGGUGGACCUCAUUCUGCUGGCAGCUACCUGUGACUCCUCAGAGCAAGGACCCAGCACCUCUCUCCAGCUGUGGCUGCUUGGAGCACCAGUUCCUACCUCAUCACCUUAUGAAUAGUUUUAAUUACUUGAAAUAAAAUGUAGAAUUCAAA